UUUAACAAAGGCAUUAGCUAAAAAGAAGGAGCUUGAGGAUAAAAUGGUGGCACUUGUUCAGGAGAAAAACGAUCUUCUACUGCAAGUAACUUCUGAAUCUGAAAACCUCUGUGAUGCUGAGGAGAGAUGUGAAGGGCUCAUCAAAA